rnacentral:rRNA from 1 species
GAUGAACGCUGGCGGCGUGCCUAAUACAUGCAAGUCGAGCGAACAGACGAGGAGCUUGCUCCGCUGACGUUAGCGGCGGACGGGUGAGUAACACGUGGAUAACCUACCUAUAAGACGGGGAAAAUUUCGGGAAACGGGAGCUAAUACCGGAUAAUAUAUUGAACCGCAUGGUUCAAUAGUGAAAGUCGGUUUUUCGGUCACGUAUAGCGGGAUCCGCGCCGCAUUAGCGAGUUGGUGAGGUAACGGCUUACCAAGGCAACGAUGCGUAGCCGACCGGAGAGAGUGGUCGGCCACACGAGAGCUGGAACACGGUCCAGGGUCCUGCGAGAGGCAGCAGAAGGGUAUGUGCGGCAGUGGGGGGGAGCCUUGCGCAGUAGGCGGACGUGUGAUAUGGCGGCGUUGCGUGCGUGAUAAUCGGUUAUUGGGGGUGAACCGCUGUCGACGUAGAUGUGGAGGGCGUGACGGUAACGGGUAAGGAAGCACCGGCUAACUACGUG